GGCGGUUGCAGCCGUGGGCUCUGGGUUCGCAUCCCGACUCGGCAGCAUCCUAAGGGGCGAUCCUCAGGGAGUUUCCUGAACCUGGAGCCUGUUUCUCAGAUGUUCAGAGGAAAUCACAGCCCCUGCCUACAGCAUAGCACCCAGGAUUCCAUGUUUUCGUUGGCCCUGAAAUGCCUUAUCAGUCUGUCCACCAUCAUCCUUUUGGGUUUGAUCAUCGCCUAUCACACACGUGAAGUCCAGCUCUUCGUGAUAGACAAUGGUGCGGACGACUGGCGGAUAGCCAUGACCUACGAGCGCAUCCUCUACAUCAGCUUGGAGAUGCUGGUGUGCGCCAUCCACCCCAUUCCUGGCGAGUACAAGUUCUUCUGGACGGCGCGCCUGGCCUUCUCCUACACACCCUCGUGGGCGGAGGCCGACGUGGACAUCAUCCUGUCCAUCCCGAUGUUCCUGCGCCUGUACCUGAUCGCCCGCGUCAUGCUACUGCACAGCAAGCUCUUCACCGACGCCUCGUCCCGCAGCAUCGGGGCCCUCAACAAGAUCAACUUCAACACGCGCUUCGUCAUGAAGACCCUCAUGACCAUCUGCCCCGGCACCGUGCUCCUCGUGUUCAGCAUCUCACUGUGGAUCAUCGCUGCCUGGACCGUCCGCGUCUGCGAAAGGUACCAUGACCAGCAGGACGUAACUAGUAACUUUCUGAGUGCCAUGUGGCUCAUCUCUAUCACAUUCCUUUCCAUUGGUUAUGGGGAUAUGGUGCCCCACACAUACUGUGGGAAAGGUGUCUGUCUUCUCACGGGCAUCACGGGUGCGGGCUGUACUGCCCUGGUGGUGGCCGUGGUGGCCCGAAAGCUGGAACUCACCAAAGCAGAGAAGCACGUUCACAACUUCAUGAUGGACACUCAGCUCACCAAACGGAGAAACAAACAACACGAAAGGAGUGGCUCUUACAGAGAGAGGAUUCUCAAAGCUGGCAAGACUGGAAAGAUCAAGAAUGCUGCAGCCAAUGUCCUUCGGGAAACGUGGCUUAUCUAUAAACACACAAAGCUGCUCAAGAAGAUUGACCACGCCAAAGUCAGGAAACACCAGAGGAAGUUCCUCCAAGCAAUCCACCAACUGAGGAGCGUCAAGAUGGAGCAGAGGAAGCUGAGUGACCAAGCCAACACCCUGGUGGACCUUUCCAAGAUGCAGAACGUCAUGUAUGACUUAAUCACAGAACUCAAUGAUCGGAGCGAAGAUCUGGAGAAACAAAUCGGCAGUCUGGAGUCUAAGCUGGAGCACCUCACCACCAGCGUCAAUUCCCUACCCCUGCUCAUCGCGGACACCCUGCGCCAGCAGCAGCGGCAGCUCCUGUCUGCCCUCACGGAGGCCCGGGGCGUCAGCGUGGCAGUGGGCACCACCCACACCCCACUCUCCGACAGCCCAAUCGGGGUCAGCUCCACCUCCUUCCCAACCCCGUACACGAGUUCAAGCAGUUGCUAAAUCAAACUCCCCACUUCAGAAGCAUUACCCAUAGGUCUUAAGAUGCAAAUCAACUCUCUCCUGGUCACUUUGCCAUCAAGGAACAUUCAGACCAGGGAACUUAAAGAAGAGAGACCGAGCUAAUUAACUAACUCAUGUUCAUUCAGCGUGCUUGGUUUGAUAUGCCUUGAAACCAGAAAUCUGAUCUCUGUUUAGGUGCCUCUACUCGGGAGCAGGAAGAGGAGAUGACAGGAAGCGACGCCUCUGGAAUGGUGCUCCUGUUUUCAGUGACAGCUGAACAUAUCAACAGACCAAUAAGCAGAUGAAAUAACCAUGCAGUUUCUUUGUGGUGUUAGUUCAUGUCACAAAGAAAUGAAGUGAAGAGCACUGACAGGUCAACCUGAGCAUGCCAAUCCCAAUCAUCUAACCUACAGCCCUCAAUUCUUAAUUCCUAGUCACCCUUCCCAUUCCCCUGUAACCCUGUGAUGUGUGUGUGUGUGUGUGUGUGUGUGUGUGUGCGUGUAUGUGCACGUGCACACAAAUAGGGAUUUAAUCCGAAUUUCAAACAAAUGGCACAUGCAAGAUUCCACUGCUACUCCUCCUGCCAAAAAGUGUGUGCAGACUGUCAUUGACCCAUCGCUGUCUGUGGGUGACUCUUCUUUAACCCACCACUAAUGCUAUUCACUUAGGUAAAUCCUGAUGACCAACCUAGCAACACUAGCAAAGAGAGUGGUUGGAGAUAUUUCCAGUAGCAGUAGCCACUGGCAUGCUGGAAACAUAUAGGCAUUUGUAGCAUGACUGGACCUAUUGGUAGUGCAAUAGCUACGUAUGGUUUUUAUCCUUGGCGAAAGAGUACUUACUCUUCGGAAAAAAAAAAAAGGGGAUCAAAUCUGCAUGUUGAUCCUGCAGUGGUAAAUGGGAGGCUGCUUCUCUGUACUGGUUUUUUAGCUUUAUGUGGGGAAGUUGCCCAUUCUCCUGCAAGUACAAUCAACCCUUGAUGACUUAGGUAUUGAUUAUCCAGGGUGUAGCUCACCCAGGUUUCCUUCCUACAGCCCAUCUUUUGGCUAAUUCCACUGAGCCUCAGCAUCUUAGUCAGAUGGGAAAAGGGGGCAGGUGGAUUCUCAUGCCAUGCCUUCUUGUUCUGUAAUUUCAAGUUUGGUGGUGGAGGAGGUUUAAUUAUCUACUCAAGAAUUGGCUAUAUGGAAAAACUAUUAAUUACAGUAACCUCACUCCAGUACUGAACUGAUUGAGUUCUGCCCACUCCUGGAAGGAUGACCGAGUGGCAGAGCCCCUACCAUAAUCCUUCUGAUAACUCAGUGCCAGGUAAAAGUACUCUAAUAUUCCCUAAAAUAUCUAGACACUUGAAUUAAAAAUACAGAGCCACCCCCUCAUCGCUUAAGCCAUAUUAUAGCUUCAUGUACUGUAAAGUCAGGGAUGUACUGUGAUACUUUAAGACCACUGAUCUCAGUGGAAUUUCAGGACAUAGCAUCAGUUGGUAAAUUAUACCAGACUAGGGACUCACUCCUCCUUAGAUUGAAGUCCAAAUAAAAAUCUGCAUCUUUGGAUCAAAGGCCACAUAUGUGUGAUCAUCAUCAAUAAAUUUAUCCUGAAGUGUCUAUGAACUGCUCUUGCCAUCCUCAUAAUAUGUAACUUCAUGACAUCAUAUCUCUAGAAAUGCUAAUGCAAUGCAAAAGAGCAAGAGGGAUAAGGCCCUGCAUCACCACUAACCUCUGACCUCAGCAAGUACCAGUGGUGUAACAACAAUCUCAUAACUGAAGGAGGUAUAGAAAAUGUCUGUGCAAGUAAUUUCCAAAGUGCUGAGCAAGUGCAAACUAUUGUUAUUUAUUAAAGGCCAAGAAGAAACAGCAUUGAAGAAACAAUGAUUUUAAUAUAUAAUAUUUGAGGCUUUCCCCCUUAGAUUUUUGAUAAUGUCUUGUGAAUAAGUAAUGAUGGAAGAGAAGAAAACUAGAGGGGCAGAAUGAGAAUAAAUAAAACUCUAACACUGGAUCCACAUCUUUGGCCAAUGAAUAUAAUCACCUCAUGCCUCAAUUUCUCUAUGCUUAAAAUGAAGGUAACAGUUAAUAUUCUUAAGUACAAAGUAUUCAGUAGAUUUUUAAAUGAGAUCACUAUUGCCAACAACAGCAGCCCAAACUGCCUCUGUCAAGUCCAUACUUUGAUGUUGCCUUUGAAUGUAGUCAAUAGUUACCAAAAAGUAAUUCUUACAUAUCACCCUAUGUGAAAUUAGCAGGGAGAAGUAUGGGAUUAGCACAUAGUCCCAGGACCUCUCUCCUUCAGAGCAUACCUCAACAAACAGUGCACCCCAAAUUAAGAAUCAGUGUUUCAUCCCAGAACCCAUGGUGUUGCUACCAUCACAGUACCACAACUGAGACACUAUGAAGUCAUUGCACUACCAGUAGGUUACGGCUCUUUUAAAGUUACUGCUUUUAAAUCCUAAAAUACGUCCCAGUUCUACACCAUCAUCCUACUUCCCUGGAUGUUGCUUAGAAGCAGAUGAAGGCUCCGUCAGUGGCCACUUGGCUGCCCCUAUUGACUCUGUGGCAUUCGGUUUCAGUACCUUAGACAGCUAUCUGGUGGCUUCCUGGUAGGCGGGAACAGCCCCUUCCCUUCCCUGCAGUCAGUCAGCUUAAUGACGCCCUGGACAGUAUCCCUUCCUUCUCUACUGCCGCCAAAGUAAACACUGUGGGAACGGGAUCAUUGAUACCACUAAGAAAGGAAUGUUACAGGGAUAGCAAUAUUAACUGUCUGCCUCUGGCAGUAGAAGAUAGGUGAGUGCUCUUCCUCCUGAAAGCUUGUGCCAGGCUGCAUGAAUAGUUAACACUAAACUCCUGUCAGACAAGUAAUAUGUAGAUUUUUACUCAAAUAGACCGAAGCUUAUUAAAAGUACUCAGUGCAAUGGUAUAUAAAUAUACACAGAUAGAGAAAACAAAUAACUGUGAUCUUUUUUUCUUACACCAUUACUGGAAAUGCCCAAACAUGAACUGGAGUUCCCUCUGAACAAAACCAUUAUGAAAUUCAUCAACGUAUGACCUCCAAAUCUAGGUGCCAAGUGCCCUGCCACAGUUGUUUACACACCUGAGAAACGUGUUCUGGAAGCUGUACUCUUGGGCCUGGACCAUGUGUUGAAACAAACAAAAGAGACGUUGUGACCAACCAAGCUGAUGGAGGAAAAGCACAAAAUUCAACACCAACCUAUAGUUCGGAUCCCAAAGAGAUGCUGAAUUUAUAGCCAAAAAAAAAAAAAAAAAAAAUAUAUAUAUAUAUAUAUAUAGACAAAGCAAAUAUCAAUCUGAUCGGAACAGCCAACAUCCAAGUUCACAGAAGAAGGACAGGGAAUAAACAACAUUCUCUAGCUGUGUCAUAUUGUCUCAGUUUUUGAAUCUCAACCGGGACU